rnacentral:rRNA from 1 species
AGUGAACGCUGGCGGCAGGCCUAAUACAUGCAAGUCGAACGGCAGCACAGCAGAGCUUGCUCUGUGGGUGGCGAGUGGCGGACGGGUGAGGAAUACGUGGGAAUCUGCCCAGUCGUGGGGGAUAACGUAGGGAAACUUACGCUAAUACCGCAUGCGCCCUUUGGGGGAAAGCCGGGGAUCUUCGGACCUGGCGCGAUUGGAUGAGCCCACGUCGGAUUAGCUAGUUGGAGGGGUAAAGGCCCACCAAGGCGACGAUCCGUAGCUGGUCUGAGAGGAUGAUCGGCCACACUGGAACUGAGACACGGUCCAGACUCCUACGGGAGGCAGCAGUAGGGAAUAUUGGACAAUGGGCGCAAGCCUGAUCCAGCCAUGCCGCGUGAGUGAAGAAGGCCCUCGGGUUGUAAAGCUCUUUUGUUGGGGAAGAAAAGCCUUGGGUUAAUACCCUGAGGUUCUGACGGUACCCAAAGAAUAAGCACCGGCUAACUUCGUGCCAGCCGCCGCCGCAGUAA